rnacentral:lncRNA from 1 species
UAGCAUGCAAUCACGAUUGAUUCGCUCUCGCGCUUGUUCGGCCGGCGUACCGAGUGAUGUCUACCACAAGCACCUGUUGCGUAACUAAAGCACAAAGCCUUAUCUUAAACUUGAAACCCGAGGGCACCCUCCUCAUGAGCCCCAUCUAAGUCAAUUAGAUGAUCUUUUCGUAUCGAGGAUCUCCCUUCUGGGAUUCCCUAAUUCCCUAGUGCGACUGAUCUAACGAAGAAAAUAGAGCGUUAGCUGUCGUCGUCAUACUAAGAAAGGCGAUAGCUGUCGCUGUAGCUUCAGAAGUAGUAGCUGAAUAAGUAGCUCUUCCUGUUGAAGAAGUAGCUGGAGUUGCUGGGGUUCGAGUUGUUGAGUCGGUAGCAGUAGUUCUUGAGUUGAGGACGAGUUGGAGUUCUUUCUUCCUCUGCUCUUCCUCGGCUUCCCUGGCAGUAGCUAUACAACACACAUGGUAGAGGAAAGGCAGGAG